rnacentral:lncRNA from 1 species
CGAUGUACUAGGAAAUUACUCUCUGACCCUGGUUGAUGCCUUGGAUACACUCGCAAUAAUGGGAAAUUCAUCCGAGUUCCAGAAAGCAGUCAAGUUAGUGAUCAACACCGUUUCAUUUGACAAAGAUUCCACCGUCCAAGUCUUUGAGGCCACGAUAAGGGUUCUGGGAAGCCUCCUUUCUGCUCAUAGAAUAAUAACUGACUCCAAACAGCCCUUUGGUGACAUGACAAUUGAGGAUUAUGAUAACGAAUUGUUGUACAUG